GACGAACGCUGGCGGCGUGCCUAAUACAUGCAAGUCGAGCGGACGAUUCGAAAGCUUGCUUUUGAAUCGUUAGCGGCGGACGGGUGAGUAACACGUGGGCAACCUGCCCUGUAGACGGGGAUAACACCGAGAAAUCGGUGCUAAUACCGGAUAACACGAAAUGUCGCAUGACGUUUCGUUGAAAGGCGGCGCAAGCUGCCGCUACAGGAUGGGCCCGCGGCGCAUUAGCUAGUUGGUGAGGUAACGGCUCACCAAGGCGACGAUGCGUAGCCGACCUGAGAGGGUGAUCGGCCACACUGGGACUGAGGCACGGCCCAGACUCCUACGGGAGGCAGCAGUAGGGAAUCUUCCGCAAUGGACGAAAGUCUGACGGAGCAACGCCGCGUGAGCGAAGAAGGCCUUCGGGUCGUAAAGCUCUGUUGUUAGGGAAGAACAAGUAACGUAGUAACUGACGUUACUAUGACGGUACCUAACGAGAAAGCCACGGCUAACUACGUG
rnacentral:rRNA from 1 species